rnacentral:snRNA from 1 species
AUUGCUUCUCAGCCUUUUGGCUAAGUUCAAGUGUAAUAUCUUUUCUUAUCACUUUAAUAAAAUGUGUGUGAAGGUAACAUGAUUCAUCAAGUGUAACCCAU